AAAAUACGGGAGGCAGCAGUGGGGAAUAUUGUACAAUGGGCGCAAGCCUGAUGCAGCGACGCCGCGUGAGGGAUGGAGGCCUUCGGGUUGUGAACCUCUUUCGCCCGUGGUCAAGCCGCGACGUGGGUCGUGGUGAGGGUAGUGGGUAAAGAAGCGCCGGCUAACUACGUGCCAGCAGCCGCGGUAAUUUUU
rnacentral:rRNA from 1 species